GACGAACGCUGGCGGCGUGCCUAAUACAUGCAAGUCGAGCGAAGUUUUUCUGGUGCUUGCACUAGAAAAACUUAGCGGCGAACGGGUGAGUAACACGUAAAGAACCUGCCUCAUAGACUGGGACAACUAUUGGAAACGAUAGCUAAUACCGGAUAACAGUAUUUCUCGCAUGAGAGAUAUUUAAAAGUUGGUUAUGCUAACACUAUGAGAUGGCUUUGCGGUGCAUUAGCUAGUUGGUGGGGUAAAGGCCUACCAAGGCGACGAUGCAUAGCCGACCUGAGAGGGUGAUCGGCCACACUGGGACUGAGACACGGCCCAGACUCCUACGGGAGGCAGCAGUAGGGAAUCUUCCGCAAUGGGCGAAAGCCUGACGGAACAACGCCGCGUGAGUGAAGAAGGAUUUCGGUUCGUAAAGCUCUGUUGUUAGGGAAGAAUGGAUAUGUAGUAACUAUACAUGUAAGAGACGGUACCUAACCAGAAAGCCACGGCUAACUAUGUGCCAGCAGCCGCGGUAAUACGUAGGUGGCAAGCGUUGUCCGGAAUUAUUGGGCGUAAAGCGCGCGCAGGUGGUUUAAUAAGUCUGAUGUGAAAGCCCACGGCUCAACCGUGGAGGGUCAUUGGAAACUGUUAAACUUGAGUGCAGGAGAGAAAAGUGGAAUUCCUAGUGUAGCGGUGAAAUGCGUAGAGAUUAGGAGGAACACCAGUGGCGAAGGCGGCUUUUUGGCCUGUAACUGACACUGAGGCGCGAAAGCGUGGGGAGCAAACAGG
rnacentral:rRNA from 1 species